CACGUAGGGCGCAAGCGUUGUCCGGAAUUAUUGGGCGUAAAGAGCUCGUAGGCGGUCUGUUGCGUCCGCUGUGAAAACUCGGGGCUUAACCCCGAGCCUGCAGUGGAUACGGGCAGACUAGAGGUAGGUAGGGGAGAAUGGAAUUCCCGGUGUAGCGGUGAAAUGCGCAGAUAUCGGGAGGAACACCGGUGGCGAAGGCGGCUUUCUGGGACGGUACUGACGCUGAGACGCGAAAGCGUGGGGAGCGAACAGG
rnacentral:rRNA from 1 species